rnacentral:rRNA from 1 species
CGUGUAGGCUGCUUGGAAAGUCGGAUGUGAAAGCCCUGGGCUCAACCUAGGAAGUGCAUUCGAAACUUCCAAGCUGGAGUGCUGGAGAGGAAGGCGGAAUUCUCGGUGUAGAGGUGAAAUUCGUAGAUAUCGAGAGGAACACCGGUGGCGAAGGCGGCCUUCUGGACAGUUACUGACGCUGAGACGCGAAAGCGUGGGAGCAAACA